CGGAAACUCGAGGUGUAGGGCUUGCUCAGCCACCACUCCAUCCGGGCUGGUGAGGAUGAGUCCAGCUCCGCUACCCCCUGAAGCCGAGGACCCGUCUGAAUAUAGGACCCAUGGCAACCUCAGGGUCCCUUCUGUAGAUGUAAGCGGUAGCUCGGGGUUGUCUGGCAGGGUACACUCCACGAUGAAGUCGGCGAGUAUUUGAGCUUUAAUGGCCGGCCUGGGCCGGUAUUCAAGGUCGAACUC
rnacentral:lncRNA from 1 species